rnacentral:rRNA from 1 species
GACGAACGCUGGCGGCGUGCUUAACACAUGCAAGUCGAACGGAAAGGCCCUGCUUUUGUGGGGUGCUCGAGUGGCGAACGGGUGAGUAACACGUGAGUAACCUGCCCUUGACUUUGGGAUAACUUCAGGAAACUGGGGCUAAUACCGGAUAGGAGCUCCUGCUGCAUGGUGGGGGUUGGAAAGUUUCGGCGGUUGGGGAUGGACUCGCGGCUUAUCAGCUUGUUGGUGGGGUAGUGGCUUACCAAGGCUUUGACGGGUAGCCGGCCUGAGAGGGUGACCGGCCACAUUGGGACUGAGAGACGGCACAGACUCCUACGGGAGGCAGCAGUGGGGAAUAUUGCACAAUGGGCGGAAGCCUGAUGAAGCAACGCCGCGUGCGGGGUGACGGCCUUCGGGUUGUAAACCGCUUUCGCCUGUGACGAAGAGUGAGUGACGGUAAUGGGUAAAGAAGCACCGGCUAACUACGUG